AAGCAACACUCUGAGGCAGACGGUCAAAACUGCCUGACACAAUUUGAGCCUGCUACGGCACCCAAGUCUAACCUAUUCGGGUGCUCUCUCCUCUAUGAGACAAGCUGUUAAAUAAACAUGGACCGU